UAUUAUUACGUUACGGUAAUUUCCGUAAUUUAACGAAAUAAAUUAUUUGAAAUGAAAUAAAUAGCAUUGUUGGUCGGCCAUCGCGAGAUCGCCCUUACACGUUUCGCUGAUCGCGUUUGCGCCUCUUAUAUUUAAUAAUUGAAAUUAUUUCAAUAAAUGUAAUUUUGCAUGUAUUAUAAGAGAAAAUAAAUAUUCAAAGCAUAUUGCGUAUCGGUCGUUCUGAUUUGUAUGCAAAGUAAUGUUAAAUUGAUUUAUAAUAAAAUCGAAUAAUAAUUAUCAUCGAAAUAAAAUAAAAUAAAACAUAAAAUGUAAAAUUUAAGAAAAUAAGAUAAUGAAAAUAAUAUAUGUGAUUUAAAGAAUGAUUAUCUACACGAAAUGUAAAGUAAAAUAAAGUAUAGUAAUUAUCCUAGUUUUGUAUCGCCGGUUUCUUAUCUUAUUUGUCAUUGCUGACGCGCGUUUGGAUGACAGGUUGCUGGUUCGCCUCUCUUCUGCUGCGUUGUCACGUAUAUUGGCGUGACGGCCCUCUGCGGCGUUGAGGGUUCUGCGUCGCUGUCUCUUUCUCUCGUUCUUGGCGUUGGCGUAUCCGCCCUGGUUGGUUGUUCGGUGUCGUUUUUGCUUUUUAUUUCCUCCAUGAUCGAUUCAAUUUUCGCAUCAGACAUAUUUUUGUCGGGGUUUAUGCUGGUUGAAUCGCCCUUUAGAAUCUCGCUGUAUAAGCCCUUUAGCAUCUGUAAUUUAAUCGGGAACAAAGUGAAAUUGCUGGUCGUCGGCGGUGACAAACUAGCCCUGAAAAUGGAUGGCGCUGAAUCGUUGAGCCUAUACUCUGCCGUCAGCGGCUGGUGGGGCGGUGCGAGCGCGCGAGCGCGAGCGCCGUCACGAGGCACUGACGAGUAGGAGGGUCGCGGCGGUGUGCGCAGAAGGGUCUGGGCGCGAGCCUGCCUGGAGCCGCCGUCGGUGCAGAUCUUGGUGGUAGUAGCAAAUACUCCAGCGAGGCCCUGGAGGACUGACGUAGAGAAGGGUUUCGUGUAAAAAGCCGUUGCACUCGAGUCAGUCGAUCCUAAGCCCUAGGAGAAAUCCUACGUCAAUGACGGCGUACUUAUACUCAAGUUUUUACUCUCUGUCUCGCACUGGCACACUCUCACUCGUCGCGCGUGACGCGCGCGCCCGCGUGCCGGGCGACGCUGUACGUCACGCUGAACGACGAGCUGUGUGCUCGCGAGCUCAAGUGUUCUGACACACGCCCGUAGGGCGAAAGGAAAUCCGGUUCCUAUUCCGGAACCCGGCAGCGGAACCGCAUACAAUUCGGGCCCUCGUAAGUGUGUUCGUCGGGGUAACCCAAAAUGACCUGGAGACGACGUCGGGAGAUCCGGGAAGAGUUUUCUUUUCUGUAUAAGCGUUCGAGUUCCCAGGAAACCUUUAGCAGGGUGAUAGGGUUUGGUUCGCGAAGAGCACCGCAGUUGCGGCGGUGUCCGGAUCUUCCCCUCGGACCUUGAAAAUCCA
rfam:Solenopsis invicta Si_gnG.contig91151, whole genome shotgun sequence.